GAUGAAGAACGUAGCGAAAUGCGAUACGUAAUGUGAAUUGCAGAAUUCAGUGAAUCAUCGAAUCUUUGAACGCACAUUGCGCCCGCCAGCACUCUGGCGGGCAUGCCUGUUCGAGCGUCAUUUGUACCCUCAAGCUUUGCUUGGUGUUGGGUGUUUGUCCCGCGUUGCGCGUGGACUCGCCUUAAAGCGAUUGGCAGCCGGCAUAUUGGCCUUGGAGCGCAGCACAUUUUGCGCUUCUAGUCAUGAAUGUUGGCGUCCAUUAAGCCUAUACAUUUGCUCUUGACCUCGGAUCAGGUAGGGAUACCCGCUGAACUUAAGCAUAUCAAUAAGCGGAGGA
rnacentral:misc_RNA from 1 species